GAGGGUAUAGCUCAGUGGUAGAGUGCAUGCCUAGCAUGCACGAGGUCCUGGGGUCAAUUCCCAGUACCUCCA
rnacentral:tRNA from 1 species